CACCACGCCCGGCUAUUUUUUUUUUUUGUAUUUUUAGUAGAGAUGGGGGUUCACCGUGUUAGCCAGGAUGGUCUCAAUCUCCUGACCUCGUGAUCCUCCCGCCUUGGCUUCCCAAAGUACUGGGAUUACAGGCAUGAGCCACGGUGCCCGGCCAAUGGAAGUUGUUAAAAAGAACAUUCACCGAAAACAAGACACCUAAAGCACAAGACUAACAGUGAGGAAUAUGUUCAUGGGCUGGACAAUUUCAAGUAAAAAGAAAACAAUGCCCAUCUACUCACUCCUUAAUUAAAACCACCCUAGAUGCCGGGACAGGCAGCUGGCGGUCACACCCUCAGCACCCUUCUCAAGAGCUAAUGAUGAAAUCGGUGGGGUAGAACCACUGCUUCUCAACUGCUUCCCCAUGACUAGGGACCCUGGCCCUCCCCGCUGCCAGAGUUAGAUGGGGCUGGAGGCAGGAUCUCAUGUUGUGCCCUGCACAUGCCUGCAGGUCCCAGCAGACAGCAGGAGACCAGGGGAAAGCCCAGGUGAGGUGCUGGUCACUAAUUCAAUCUACCUACUGUGUGGCUAGGGUCAGGGUUGAGGCUAGUUCCCAGGGGCUACCUCCUUCCUCUGUCUACAAGGGAGCACACGAUCUUCCAGAAUUUUCGCAAGGAGUCUCUGAAGAGAUGUGUGCUAAUUAAACUGAGGCUGCAUCUCCAGCCGCACAGAAUGGGAAGUUUUAAUUCAGGAGUAUUUUUUAGACACAGUAUGGGCUGUGUCUAAAAAAAUCUUCAGUGGUCUGUGCUGUCAUGAGCUGUCUAUACUGUCCAAUGAGUCUAACAAUUUUACAGACACCAGCCUCUGACUUUACAGAGUGCUUGUCCUGAGUCAUGAUGAAAUAAUUAAUAGGUCUAUUACGUCUGUUCAUCUCAGCUGCAAUUGCAGCAAGCUUGGAAGAUGAUAGAUCUCCGGUCCUCUCACGCAAGGCUGCAGCAUGCUUGCAGGGAAACGGCAGGAGCAUGAGUUUUGGAAAUAGAUCCUGUUGACGGGAGUAAAUGGGACUUCACACGUUUCUUCAAGUUCGCAUUGCUCUCAAGAAAGGCUUCUAAACCCACUCAUUUGAAGAUUUCCUUGACAGCACAUGAAUUUUUAGAAGUUUUUUUUUUUUUUCCCCAGAAUAACACGUUGCCUAAAGCCGCACGUUAAGGUACUGGUUAAUGUCUUGGUCUCUAUUUAACCCUAUUUGUUUAAAAACCAGUGAAACAUAGCAAAAGGGGAAAUUUCAAGGGCUCCUUCCCUUCCUUCCUCCCAGGGAGAAGGAACUAGAGUUAAGUGUGGUCCUCAGACGGCAUCUGCUGAAGCUCUGUUGCUCCUGUGUACUAAGAGUCGGCGUCCUGUGCACAGUGAAGGUGGAGCCCGUGGAGAGGAGCAUCUCGGUACACGGAGGGUCCCGGAGUUCAGUGGUCCACGCUGGUCUUCACCCUGGCUGGCCCGUGACUGGGCCUGAUGCCCCUCACUCCUGAGUAAGCUGACCUUCGAUUCUUCACACAAGGGCCCAGCUGUGACUCACGAAAAUGAAAAUGAGAGUACGACUUUGGAGCAAAGCCAUUUCUCAAGUCUGAGGGGUAAGUGCAUGCACAGAGCGCUGCACACAGCUCUGCCAACAGCUGUCACCACCUGGUGCCGCCGCGAAGCUGGCCACGGAGCAGCCGCACGCAGCAGCCACGCUCUCCGGAGUCGCUGCUAUGGACACAGUCUCACGGGGCUCUCUGAAGCCCUCUGCCUUGGUGGGUCUCUGCUGCAGAAAGGGAGGGUUCUGAGCCAGCACAGGCCUAGUCUGGAGACAGAGUCCUGGGGGAAGGAAGCGUCUGUGGGCAGGGGGCACAGCUGGUUCCUCACACACGGGAGAACUCAUGUUGGAACUUGUUUAACCCCAGCCAUCACCAAUUGAUGAGUUAACCACCUUUAACAUGAGAUUCAAUAAAACAUGCCAUUUUUAACCUGAAA